rnacentral:rRNA from 1 species
UACGUAAGGUGCAAGCGUUGUCCGGAAUUAUUGGGCGUAAAGAGCUCGUAGGCGGUCUGUCGCGUCGGCUGUGAAAACCCGAGGCUCAACCUCGGGCCUGCAGUCGAUACGGGCAAACUAGAGUACUGCAGGGGAGACUGGAAUUCCUGGUGUAGCGGUGAAAUGCGCAGAUAUCAGGAGGAACACCGGUGGCGAAGGCGGGUCUCUGGGCAGUAACUGACGCUGAGGAGCGAAAGCGUGGGGAGCGAACAGG